rnacentral:rRNA from 1 species
GUGUCAGCAGCCGCGGUAAAACGUAGGAGGCUAGCGUUAUCCGGAUUCACUGGGCGUAAAGCGCGUGUAGGCGGUCCGGUAAGUCGGGCGUGAAAUCUCUUGGCUCAACUGGGAGAGGCCGUCCGAAACUACCGGACUCGAGGGCAGUAGAGGGAGGUGGAAUUCCGGGUGUAGCGGUGAAAUGCGUAGAUAUCCGGAGGAACACCUGUGGCGAAAGCGGCCUCCUGGACUGCCCCUGACGCUCAGACGCGAAAGCUAGGGGAGCGAACGGGAUUAGAUACCCUCGUAGUCC